GACGGAGGUGGCGAACGUUAUCCGGAAUUAUUGGGCGUAAAGGGUGCGUAGGCGGGUCUUUAAGUCAGGGGUGAAAUCCUGGAGCUCAACUCCAGAACUGCCUUUGAUACUGAGGAUCUUGAGUUCGGGAGAGGUGAGUGGAACUGCGAGUGUAGAGGUGAAAUUCGUAGAUAUUCGCAAGAACACCAGUGGCGAAGGCGGCUCACUGGCCCGAUACUGACGCUGAGGCACGAAAGCGUGGGGAGCAAACAGG
rnacentral:rRNA from 1 species